rnacentral:rRNA from 1 species
AUUGAACGCUGGCGGCAUGCCUUACACAUGCAAGUCGAACGGCAGCACGGGUGCUUGCACCUGGUGGCGAGUGGCGAACGGGUGAGUAAUACAUCGGAACAUGUCCUGUAGUGGGGGAUAGCCCGGCGAAAGCCGGAUUAAUACCGCAUACGAUAUACGGAUGAAAGCGGGGGACCUUCGGGCCUCGCGCUAUAGGGUUGGCCGAUGGCUGAUUAGCUAGUUGGUGGGGUAAAGGCCUACCAAGGCGACGAUCAGUAGAUGGUCUGAGAGGACGACCAGCCACACUGGGACUGAGACACGGCCCAGACUCCUACGGGAGGCAGCAGUGGGGAAUUUUGGACAAUGGGCGAAAGCCUGAUCCAGCAAUGCCGCGUGUGUGAAGAAGGCCUUCGGGUUGUAAAGCACUUUUGUCCGGAAAGAAAGCCUUGGCUCUAAUACAGUCGGGGGAUGACGGUACCGGAAGAAUAAGCACCGGCUAACUACGUG